rnacentral:rRNA from 1 species
GAACCUUACCUACCCUUGACAUGCCAGGAAUUUUGCAGAGAUGCGAAGGUGCCGAAAGGAACCUGGACACAGGUGCUGCAUGGCUGUCGUCAGCUCGUGUUGUGAGAUGUUGGGUUAAGUCCCGUAACGAGCGCAACCCUUAUCCUUAGUUACCAUCAUUAAGUUGGGGACUCUAAGGAGACUGCUGGUGACGAACCGGAGGAAGGCGGGGACGACGUCAAGUCAUCAUGGCCUUUAUGGGUAGGGCUACACACGUGCUACAAUGGUCGGUACAGAGGGCAGCCAACCCGUGAGGGGGAGCCAAUCCCGAAAAGCCGAUCGUAGUCCGGAUCGGAGUCUGCAACUCGACUCCGUGAAGUCGGAAUCGCUAGUAAUCGCGAAUCAGAAUGUCGCGGUGAAUACGUUCCCGGGCCUUGUCACACCGA